CCUUUAGAGUGUCAUAUCAAACGAAAGUAGCUUAUGCAAAAUCGGACACGUUGAAAAAGGAA
rfam:Clostridium pasteurianum BC1, complete genome.